AGCAUGAGAUUAGCUUGCUAAUCUUGAUGGCGACCGGCGCACGGUGAGUAACGCGUAUCCAACCUUCCCCUUAGUAGGCAUAGCCGGCGAAAGUCGGAUUAAUACCCUAUGUUCUUCGUAGAGGACAUCUGAAAUGAAGCAAAGACUUGUCGCUAAGGGAUGGGGAUGCGUCUGAUUAGGUAGUCGGCGGGGUAACGGCCACCGAGCCUACGAUCAGUAGGGUUCGUGAGAGGAAGGUCCCCCACAUUGGAACUGAGACACGGUCCAAACUCCUACGGGAGGCAGCAGUGAGGAAUAUUGGUCAAUGGGCGAGAGCCUGAACCAGCCAAGUAGCCGUGCAGGAUGACGGCCCUAUGGGUUGUAAACUGCUUUUAUGCGGGGAUAAAGUGAGGGACGUGUCCCUUUUUGUAGGUACCGCAUGAAUAAGGACCGGCUAAUUCCGUGCCAGCAGCCGC
rnacentral:rRNA from 1 species